ACGGGGUGCAGCAGGCGCGAAACCUUCACAAUGCACGAAAGUGUGAUGAGGGUACUCCGAGUGCGCAUACAUUGUAUGUGCUUUUCUGCAGCGUAAAUAGUUGCAGGAAUAAGGGCUGGGCAAGACCGGUGCCAGCCGCCGCGGUAACACCGGCAGCCCUAGUGGUGGCCGCUUUUAUUGGGCCUAAAGCGUCCGUAGCCGGAUAGGCAAGUCUUUGGGUAAAUCCUACGUCUUAAGCGUGGGAAUUCUAAAGAUACUACCUGUCUUGAGGCCGGGAGAGGCUAGAGGUACUCCUGGGGUA
rnacentral:rRNA from 1 species